rnacentral:RNase_P_RNA from 1 species
GCCCGCUAUGCAGUCGCUGUUCCCGUCAGCGUACGGGGAGGGAGGAAAGUCCGGGCUCCACAGGGCGGAGUGCCAGGUAACGCCUGGGCGGCGCGAGCCGACGGAAAGUGCAGCAGAAAGGAAACCGCCUAAGCGGCCCGCGGGCCGCCGGCAAGGUUGAAAAGGUGCGGUAAGAGCGCACCGCGUGGCUGGCAACAGUCCACGGCGACGGUAAACCCCACUCGGAGCAAGGCCAAAUAGGAGUCCAGAGGUGUGGCCCGCACCGGACUCGGGUAGGCUGCUUGAGGUCCGCGGUGACGCGGAUCCCAGAGGAAUGACUGCACGCGACAGAACCCGGCUUACAGGCGGACUCGA